rnacentral:rRNA from 1 species
GAUGAACGCUGGCGGCGUGCCUAAUACAUGCAAGUCGAACGCCUUGUGGUUCAACUGAUUUGAAGAGCUUGCUCGGAUAAGACGUUGAACAUUGCAAGGAGUGGCGAACGGGUGAGUAACACGUGGGAAACCUACCUCUUAGCGGGGGAUAACAUCUGGAAACAGAUGCUAAUACCGCAUAACACUUAUGACCGCAUGGUCAAGAGUUGAAAGAUGGUUCUGCUAUCACUAAGAGAUGGUCCCGCGAUGCAUUAGUUAGUUGGUAAGGUAAUGGCUUACCAAGACGAUGAUGCAUAGCCGAGUUGAGAGACUGAUCGGCCACAAUGGGACUGAGACACGGCCCAUACUCCUACGGGAGGCAGCAGUAGGGAAUCUUCCACAAUGGACGAAAGUCUGAUGGAGCAACGCCGCGUGUGUGAUGAAGGGUUUCGGCUCGUAAAACACUGUUGUAAGAGAAGAACGACACCGAGAGUAACUGUUCGGUGAGUGACGGU